rnacentral:rRNA from 1 species
UACGUAGGGUGCAAGCGUUUAAUCGGAAUUACUGGGCGUAAAGCGUGCGCAGGCGGUUUUGUAAGUCUGUCGUGAAAUCCCCGGGCUCAACCUGGGAAUUGCGAUGGAGACUGCAAGGCUAGAAUCUGGCAGAGGGGGGUAGAAUUCCACGUGUGAGCAGUGAAAUGCGUAGAGAUGUGGAGGAACACCGAUGGCGAAGGCAGCCCCCUGGGGUCAAGAU